rnacentral:lncRNA from 1 species
AAAGAGGCAAUUAUUAAUCCCAUGUGCAAAACGUGAGAGAAAAGAUACGCAAUCGUGGUAUAUACUACAAAGUCAUCUUAAAUAAGUGCACCGCAUGCUAUGGCACGAAGAAAAAGGUUGCUGUGUGUCAAGUGCUCCGGAAAUUUUUAGAGGAGGCCCACUUCUUAGGGUAGUCACUCUGUGAUGACGAAUGGACGUGUCUCCAGGGCGUGACGGAGCCCUCCUCUAGCCAUCACUUGCAUUCAGAUUAUUAUUCGGGUAGGUAACUGUUUCCCACCUAAUAUCUGUUUUUCAUUUACUUUCUUACUAUUACAAUCCCAGUUUUAUUGGGUGUGGUAAUUCCCUAGCUAAAAAACUUUCUUUAAC